rnacentral:rRNA from 1 species
GCGAACAGAUAAGGAGCUUGCUCCUUUGACGUUAGCGGCGGACGGGUGAGUAACACGUGGGUAACCUACCUAUAAGACUGGGAUAACUUCGGGAAACCGGAGCUAAUACCGGAUAACAUUUGGAACCGCAUGGUUCUAAAGUGAAAGAUGGUUUUGCUAUCACUUAUAGAUGGACCCGCGCCGUAUUAGCUAGUUGGUAAGGUAACGGCUUACCAAGGCAACGAUACGUAGCCGACCUGAGAGGGUGAUCGGCCACACUGGAACUGAGACACGGUCCAGACUCCUACGGGAGGCAGCAGUAGGGAAUCUUCCGCAAUGGGCGAAAGCCUGACGGAGCAACGCCGCGUGAGUGAUGAAGGGUUUCGGCUCGUAAAACUCUGUUAUUAGGGAAGAACAAAUGUGUAAGUAACUGUGCACAUCUUGACGGUACCUAAUCAGAAAGCCACGGCUAACUACGUGCCAGCAGCCGCGGUAAUACGUAGGUGGCAAGCGUUAUCCGGAAUUAUUGGGCGUAAAGCGCGCGUAGGCGGUUUCUUAAGUCUGAUGUGAAAGCCCACGGCUCAACCGUGGAGGGUCAUUGGAAACUGGGAAACUUGAGUGCAGAAGAGGAAAGUGGAAUUCCAUGUGUAGCGGUGAAAUGCGCAGAGAUAUGGAGGAACACCAGUGGCGAAGGCGACUUUCUGGUCUGUAACUGACGCUGAUGUGCGAAAGCGUGGGGAUCAAACAGGAUUAGAUACCCUGGUAGUCCACGCCGUAAACGAUGAGUGCUAAGUGUUACGGGGUUUCCGCCCCUUAGUGCUGCAGCUAACGCAUUAAGCACUCCGCCUGGGGAGUACGACCGCAAGGUUGAAACUCAAAGGAAUUGACGGGGACCCGCACAAGCGGUGGA